rnacentral:lncRNA from 1 species
CUUGCGGGAUCAAACUGUCCAAUGAUCUUAUCACUAAGAUAUGAAAUACAAAAUUUGAGACUAACAAAAAUUUAUAAAUUUAGAGAAUUUGUGACUACCUGCAUUCAAACUGGUUUUCUGCAUUGCUUUCUUCACUUUCAGAGUCUGAAUCACCAACAUGAUUUGCAGAGCUGGUUGGUGGCUGGUCCUUAGUAGCACCUUCUUUUUUUCUUUGUUUUCGUACCUGAUAAAGCUUCAAUUGUUGGAUGCAGUUCACUGUAAAUAUAUCGAAGAAGUACUUUGCCUUUUUUUUGCCCAAAGAUGGUUUCAAGCCAUACUUGCUCAGUUCAUUCUUGAUUUCAAUAGUCUUCAUACCACUGUAAUCCAACAUUGGGGUCACCUUGUUAGAGUGAAUUAACUGGGGAGAAGGUGUUCUCAUAACUUCUUGCCUUAUGGUUUGACAAGGGGCAUUGGAAGUUUCUGGGGCUUGUUGAAUAUUGCCUUCAAUUUGAUUGAGUAGUGAUUCAUUCUCAAACAACGAAUCAUUGGCAAAAUUUUCGCUCUGCUGUCGUCGUUUCUUCGGUGAGGCACUGCGGUCUACAACUUUGGCACUGAGUUUUACCGGAGAGGGUGAUUUGGAUUUCAACCUGACAGACUGAUUGAAAGGUGAGCUACAGGAUUUCCUAGAAUUAUUUAAAGGAGAGACACUAGUAGCACUUAGAUUGAGAUGAUCUUCUGGGAGAGAGGAAUUACAUCUUGACUGUUUUUGUUUGAUGUGGAGCCUGAUGAUACAACAAUUUUAUCUUGACUGGCAGUUUUUGGGGAAUUCCGUCAUUACUACUUUCUUUCCGACACUCAAGUGGUGACUUGGGGGUGAGUCUUCAGCAGCAGUAAAUACACCGUACCCUUCAUCGAAUGCUUCCCAAAAUGGACUUAUGUACCCGUAAUUAGCCUGCGUUUCUCUUUGCUUCCGGAAUUAUUUUCAGCCGGACUCGGAGGAAGUGAGUGAACUUCCGCUUCACUUCUAAAUCCAGGACUGCUACUUCCUCUCCUUUAUUUUCUGGUAGGAUCACAGUUGAAUCACUGCAAUUUAAAUCGGACUUGUUACAUUCUUCUUCAUGGCCGAUAUUAUCAAGAAUUGGAGGAGAGUUAGGAUUGGAUAAACUGUCCAACUGAAGAGUUCCAACAGUGGAAGCAGAUGAUUCUAGUGUCAAAUCGACAGAGACUAUCUUCUUGUCUUCGAGGCAACUUUUCUUUGAUUUAUCACUGUGGUCUGAAAUAGAUGACUUCCGUUUGCGGGAGGGAAAGCCGUUACUAGAUGUAGCAUCCUCAUCAGAAAGGUGUGGUAAUUCAAAAGGAGCAGAAUUUUCUUUGUUGUCAAAGCAAGUGCUGUCCGUAUUUUCUUGACUGUAAUGUUUUUCGGUAACGGUGUCUCUCAUUUCCUGAGAAGCACUUUUGACUGGAGAUAUGAUCUCGAUCUCAGUUCCUUGACUGGAUUUUGUGUUUUUAUCAUCGCUCAACUUGAAAAGCUCUUCCUCUACGGAGUCAAUUGCUUUGAUAUCAAAUUCUAAAUCAGUAUCUUUGGUACCUUCUUUUUCAGAGACAUGAGAAACUAUGUUGUCAAUUGUUUCUUCAUCACCCUGCUUUGACAAGCUUUGAAUUGACUCAACUACCUAAGUAAAUUUUCAGGAUGGCUUUCCAAAAAUGAUGUAUUCUGUGAUGGAGCUUCUUCUGCACCAAAGAUGUCAGGAGAUAGACUUCUGUUUAGUUUGUCACUGAUUUAUUUUUAUUUUGAGCACCUUCUGAAGAGGCUGGAACUUGUUUGCAUUCAGGACGACUUAUAUUUCGUGGUAUAUGACCGUGGUUUAUUUUCGAGGCACUGACAAAAGGAUUUAAUUGCAUUUUUGGUUUUGUUUGAUUGCUGACGGGCGAUUCAAAAUACAGCGAUUUUGUGAUUUGUUGCUUAUUCGAAGCCUCUCCUGCAUAGACGGAAAGAAAAUUAGGACUCUCUUCACCGAAGCACUCAGCAUAUGAAGAUAUCUGAUAAGCGCUGAAUCUUCAUACCUCUCUGCAAGACUACAGAGUUCUGUUUUUACGCCAUCAUCCAACUUUGAAAAAUCUACAGUAGCACAGUACAGAAAUUCUAGAAACAAAUCGAUGCAAGUUGCAGUAAAAUCAUUCCAAGCCAACAAGUGGGUUUGACAAUUCGUUCUGGGAUCUGUCUCUGAGAUCAAAUCAUCGAGGACACCAGGGCAGCGCGCAAAAAAAACAAGUCUGUGAGCAGGAAUUUCCCUUUCUUCUUUCGAGAGAAUUUCACAUCACUAAAAGUUUUACUCCUCAGCAAGUGCCGCCAGCUGGUUGAUAAGUCCUGCAAUGAUGACGCUUGCGUUGACUGCAUUCGAUUGGGCUUUGAAUUCGAGUCUUGCUUGUUUCCUGCUUUAAUGCAUUCUGAAUUAGAAGUAAACGUAUUUUUGACUUCACUGAACUUGAUUGAAUGAUGGCUGACGUUGCGUCUGAGCUCUUAGAAAAAGCUGGUUUGAAAAUUUCUUCCAAAUAUGCAUCAGACUUGAUCUGGAAAGUGAUAAAUACAUAAUAAUACAAAUACAAUACAAUACAAUAAAUUUAAUACUUUGAUCACAAAAAUCCUAAAUGUAGGAAAGUUGUUGAUAAUGUUUAAUAGACCUUUAAAUUCCCCCUGCCGCCAGCUUUCAUCCAGAAGGAGCUCCUUACCCUUCCUUCUAUCUAUAUUUUUGAGUGUAUUAAAUUCUCCAUCUUCUCUAAAUUAAUUACGCCUUUAGAUCUCUGUCCCUCCCACUCUUAUAAUAGCAGAUAUAAAAGCAUAAAAAAUUCAAAGAUCAGACUGACUUCAACAAUGCGCAAUGUAAAGUAUUCUUCUAUCCAAUUAUUUAAUGCCUUGCCUUGGGAACUAAAAUCUCUUUUUCGUGAAGGCCGAGUUCAAUAUUUUCUAAGUAAGCUCCUCGAGCAUCUCCUAAAAAAUGCUUUCUACAGUAUUGAUGAACUGCUGAAUGGAAUAACCCCGGCCACCCUCCUGGUUGAAUAGCUGACUCUGCCUCUCUUGUUACUACAAUAUUCUGUGCUUUCUGAUUGUUAGAAAUUUAAUACUUUUUGUAAACUCCAAAACUUUAUUGUAACUGAAUUUGACUUAUACUAUAGCCUCACGGCUCCCGUGUAUCAAUAUGCAAUAAAUAAAUAAAUAAAUAAAAAAAAAUUUGAGACGAUGAUCCUAAAAAAUUGAAAACUGCAUAGUGAUGUAUGAAAAGAGUAGGAUAAAGAAGUUAUGCC